GAGAAAAAGCCACAUUAAGUUCCGCCCCUCUGACACGAUUGGUCAGAACAAAGAGGCGCCGCCCACCUGAGCUCCCGCCCCUCUUUAAAGGGGUCGGACCGGCAACAUGUGACUCGAUUACAGCGUGCGAGUAAAAACGGGAAAGAAGAACAUUCCAUCAGGAAUGAGGAGAAACUGGAGGAGAGGAACGAAAGAAAGAGAGAAAGGUGGAGAUAUAAUGAAGGCAGAUGAGAGGUUUCCGCUGCACGAAUGGUGAGAGGGUGAAAUUCCUCAACACUCCAGAGCGGAUUCACUGGGAAGGAAGAGAAAGAACAUGAGAAGUGGAAACCAGAAGGUUUGCAAACAGGCUGCAGCACAGGAGCGGAGCAGCACAGAUGCUGCAGAGGUCUCCACAUCGAGGCGUCC